CCAAAGCAACAUAUGUUUGUACUC
rnacentral:siRNA from 1 species